CAGCUGUUCAGAGAAUGGCACACUGAAAUGCGUGAGACCUCGUCUGGAGACAGACGUCUGUUUCUCUGGCCUUCAAGCACCUGACCCGGGAGUGAUUCAGGGCUAUGUGAAAAAGGUGCAGGACCUGGCUGAUUCAGGGGUCCUGUUUGUGGGCUUUCUGCAGCAGCCUGGUGGGGGGCCGUGUUUUCUGGGUCACGGUGACAAUGACGAACUCUCCUCUCUUCACUCCAGUCCCUCCCCCAUACACGAACACACACAAGCCCCAGCGAUCAGCCCAACCAGCCAGGACAAACAUAUCAACCACUGCAAGAAUGAGGACAACCAAAUGCAGAGCUAUAAAAACAAGGCCUCUCCAAGCCAGGACUAUGGAAGUGAGGCCAGACUGCAGCAAGAGCAAGAAACCUGCCAAUGCCAGAAUCACCAGAAGUCUUUUCCUGUUCAACACCAAAGUUCAGACCAUCAAUACCCUGAGGCUGGUAGACAAGAGGACGGAGACAGAGGACAGAGGACAGAGGACGACACACACCAAGACAGAACAGAUGAGCCCAGAUCCAGCUCAACAGAACCAAAUCUGGCUGAAGGGGAUUGUCCCCUUCAGGCAAACAGUGAAAGCCAAAGGCCAGAGAACCCAGAGUGGAUCAAGAAUCCUGACAAAGCUGGAAAACAGCCUGGAACCACCCAGUCCCUCAACCGUGUGCAGGUGUUCGCUCUCUAUAACCAUGCUGUGGUGCUCUCUGGGUCGCCAAGGUUCUAUUCUUUGAGAAUUCCACUGCAGGUGCACGAGGAGGCAGGGCUGAUCACUACAGUCGACACUCACUGGCUUGAUCACAUGACCCAGCACUUCAGAAGCGGCGCCCAACUCAUUGAUGGCUACUUUCAUAUAGGAGAUGAUGCGGGUAUGGCAGCUAGCAACGGAUGAAAGGCGGC
ensembl:lncRNA